AUUGAACGCUGGCGGCAUGCCUUUACACAUGCAAGUCGAACGGCAGCACGGGUGCUUGCACCUGGUGGCGAGUGGCGAACGGGUGAGUAAUGCAUCGGAACGUGCCCAUGAGUGGGGGAUAGCCCGGCGAAAGCCGGAUUAAUACCGCAUACGCCCUUAGGGGGAAANCGGGGGAUCUUCGGACCUCGCGCUAUUGGAGCGGCCGAUGUCGGAUUAGCUAGUAGGUGAGGUAAAGGCUCACCUAGGCGACGAUCCGUAGCUGGUCUGAGAGGAUGAUCAGCCACACUGGGACUGAGACACGGCCCAGACUCCUACGGGAGGCAGCAGUGGGGAAUUUUGGACAAUGGGCGCAAGCCUGAUCCAGCCAUGCCGCGUGAGUGAAGAAGGCCUC
rnacentral:rRNA from 1 species